rnacentral:rRNA from 1 species
GAUGAACGCUGGCGGCGUGCCUAAUACAUGCAAGUCGAGCGAACGGACGAGAAGCUUGCUUCUCUGAUGUUAGCGGCGGACGGGUGAGUAACACGUGGAUAACCUACCUAUAAGACUGGGAUAACUUCGGGAAACCGGAGCUAAUGCCGGAUAAUAUUUUGAACCGCAUGGUUCAAUAGUGAAAGACGGUCUUGCUGUCACUUAUAGAUGGAUCCGCGCUGCAUUAGCUAGUUGGUAAGGUAACGGCUUACCAAGGCAACGAUGCAUAGCCGACCUGAGAGGGUGAUCGGCCACACUGGAACUGAGACACGGUCCAGACUCCUACGGGAGGCAGCAGUAGGGAAUCUUCCGCAAUGGGCGAAAGCCUGACGGAGCAACGCCGCGUGAGUGAUGAAGGUCUUCGGAUCGUAAAACUCUGUUAUUAGGGAAGAACAUAUGUGUAAGUAACUGUGCACAUCUUGACGGUACCUAAUCAGAAAGCCACGGCUAACUACGUG